rnacentral:rRNA from 1 species
AACUAUAACGGUCCUAAGGUAGCGAAAUUCCUUGUCGGGUAAGUUCCGACCCGCAUGAAAGGCGUAAUGAUUUGGGCACUGUCUCAACGAGGGGCCCGGUGAAAUUGAAAUACCUGUGAAGAUGCAGGUUACCCGCGACUGGACAGAAAGACCCCAUGGAGCUUCACUGCAGCUUGAGAUUGAAUCCCGGUGACAGAUGCACAGGAUAGGUGGGAGGCGCCGAAGCAUUGCCCUAGGGCGGUGCGGAGCCGAUGUUGGGAUACCACCCUUCUGUUGCUGAGAUUCUAACGCGAGGAGUAACGACCCUGCGGACCCUCUCAGGCAGGCGGUUUGACUGGGGCGGUCGCCUCCGAAAGAGUAACGGAGGCGCCCAAAGGUUCCCUCAGGCCGGACAGAAACCGGCCGAAGAGUGCAAAGGCAGAAGGGAGCUUGACUGCGAGACCAACAAGUCGAGCAGAGACGAAAGUCGGGCUUAGUGAUCCGGUGGUACUGGGUGGAAAGGCCAUCGCUCAACGGAUAAAAGCUACCCUGGGGAUAACAGGCUAAUCUCUCCCAAGAGUCCAUAUCGACGGGGAGGUUUGGCACCUCGAUGUCGGCUCAUCACAUCCUGGGGCUGGAGUAGGUCCCAAGGGUUGGGCUGUUCGCCCAUUAAAGUGGUACGCGAGCUGGGUUCAAAACGUCGUGAGACAGUUUGGUUCAUAUCCAUCGCGGGCGCAAGAAGUUUGAGAGGAGCUGCUCCUAGUACGAGAGGACCGGAGUGGACGGAUCAACGGUGUCCCAGUUGUCACGCCAGUGGCACGGCUGGAAAGCCGCAUCCGGGAAGGAUAAACGCUGAAAGCAUCUAAGCGUGAAGCCAACCUCAAGAUGAGACUUCUCAUCAGCAAUGAGUAAGACCCCUUACAGACGAUGAGGUAGAUAGGUUAUGAGUGGAAGAGCCGCAAGGCUUGGAGCGACAUAAAACUAAUAGGUCGAGGUCUUAACUUA